rnacentral:rRNA from 1 species
UGGGGAAUAUUGGACAAUGGGCGCAAGCCUGAUCCAGCCAUGCCGCGUGAGUGAAGAAGGCCUUCGGGUUGUAAAGCUCUUUUACCAGGGACGAUAAUGACGGUACCUGGAGAAUAAGCCCCGGCAAACUUCGUGCCAGCAGCCGCGGUAAUACGAAGGGGGCUAGCGUUGUUCGGAAUUACUGGGCGUAAAGCGCACGUAGGCGGAUUUGUAAGUCAGGGGUGAAAUCCCGGGGCUCAACCUCGGAACUGCCCUUGAUACUGCAAAUCUCGAGUCCGAUAGAGGUGAGUGGAAUUCCUAGUGUAGAGGCGAAAUUCGUAGAUAUUAGGAAGAACACCAGUGGCGAAGGCGGCUCACUGGAUCGGUACUGACGCUGAGGUGCGAAAGCGUGGGGAGCAAACAGGAUUAGAUACCCCGGUAGUCCCUGAGCGGGCUGGCAAGGCGCAU